UUUCAAUGUUUCAGCUUAUUUCUCCAUGUAAGAACAAGCUCAGAGAAGACUUCAUUAGAGUGGAAGAUUUUUGGAAUCAUAUGCAAAAACUUAGACAAGGACCCAGCGUUCUCAUGGCCUUUUACCAAGGGAAGAUUUGGGACAUUUGUAUUCUGCCUAUCACCAAGCACUAGUCAAAAGUGGGGAACAUCUGUGUUUGUUUUUUCUUGCCAAUCUUCAGUCUAACUGCAGUAGUUAAGGAGGAAAAUCUUCUGAAAUUGCAAGUCUAACUCUCUGUCUUCAGAGAAUUUUACCUUCCAUCCCCCAUAAAUCAAUUUAUAGUGACAUGUCUUGCAGAUGGUCUGUCAGCAACCAAAUAUUUAGUACAGCUGUCCAUAUAACAGAAAUUCAGGGUCCAGGAUAACAUGUCCAGUUUUGUUUGCUAGACACUCAGAUGAUGGAACCACUGGUUUGAUGUAUGGUUGCAUAAUUUUAUGGAAAGAAAGAGAUCAGUGCCAUUGCACUCAGACAAAAUAGCUCUGUCAUUUCAAUUUUAAGGCUACAGCCAGGUACACAGUGGUGUUCCAUUUGCCUGUUUUUUAGGGAUUAACACUGUGUAUUUACCUUCUGAAAUGAUUAACAUAAUAGUGAAGAGGGGACUCCCUUGCAAAUUGUGUUGUCAACAAAGAUAAUAUAAACUGUGACACAAGCUAAAAGGAAGAAUACUUGCCACGUAAGGGAGAAAAGGCAAAACAAAGUUAACUGGUAUUGAUUGUUUUGUCACAGACAGGUGUUAAACAUACACAGCAGACAAUUACAGUACAAUUAGAAUUAUAGAGCUGACUUCUAACCUCAAUUAAAGGGAAACUUGGUGAGGGCAAUGUGACAAGGAAGAAAACUGUUCUCUCAUUUUAUCUUGUGAAGUGUUUCUUUCUCUGCUUUUGUGGACUGUUUAGUUAGUUUGUCUUUGGUAGAUUUGUUAAUUCUUUCUUCUUUCCAGUAAGAAAUUGCAUGAUUAAAAAGGAGAAAAAAGGUAGACUCUGAAAACUGUGAGGAAAUCUCAGAAUCUCAAUUGCUAUUAAUGGUUGCAGGUCUUCUAACUUCAAUGUGCCUCCUCAGGAACCCUCCACUAAUCUCUCUUUCCUAAUCUUUCAGAGCCAAAGUGACUUCCCAUCAUCACUGGAAGAACUAGAAAGGACCUGAAUGUGGACACCUGUGCUUCUUAAAACCACUCUUUGGCUCCUUCCCAAAUGAGCUUUGAAGAUGGAAAUCCAUCCUUCUAAUGAAGUUCAUUGCCUGAAAAUCCACUGUUCAGGAGCAGAUUGCUAUGCCAGGAAAGAGCCAUGUUGGUGUUUCAGAAGGAAAUCUCAAAGGCUUUCUGGGUCUGCCAAUGAAAAAGAGAAAAUACUCCAGGAUGUUCUUUCUUCUCCAGUCAUGAAGCCAACCUUCUCCUUUUCAGAACACCACUGUCGUGGCCUCUCUUUGUUUGCCCUGGACAUCACAACUGGCUUUCCACGGCAAAGGGUCUUGCAUCACCAGUCCAUUGACCAGUGAAAGACCAUAUUGGCUGCCUGUACUGAGCUUGAAGAUCCACACAGGGGCAUGCCUUGGUCCACUGAAGAUAUUCUGAUGCCACCCGCAGGAGGACGCAGGGCAUCCUGUGUUUCUUGCUGUUUUCUAGAGAGCCGAGCUAAACAUGAAGCAUCCUGGUGUGCAAGAGGCUGUUAGCAGGAAGCAGCUCCAGUGAGCUGUCACAGCUCCCAGCCAUGACACAGCAUGCAGAAUCUAGGAGUCAAGCAGCCUUGCCCAGCAGUUAUUCUGGGACAGCAAACCUGGCUUUGCAUUAAUACACAGUUUUUUCCUGGAGGCUUCACCCAUGCAUUUCUGUGCAAUAUGAUUCUGCUGUUAUUAAGCUAUAAGACUUGUGAGAUCCAAGUAAAACUAAGGGAAAUCUUGACUUCCUGGAGAACUUCAUUAGCUUAGUGGUUAUGCUAUUAUGUACUGGGUGCAUAAGGGAAAAAAAAUCACAGCUUUACAAAAACAGUAACAGAGAAGAGGUAAGCAGAAAAGACAAGGGAAAUUAUACUG